rnacentral:rRNA from 1 species
UACGUAGGGACCAAGCGUUGUUCGGAUUUACUGGGCGUAAAGGGCGCGUAGGCGGCGUGGUAAGUCACUUGUGAAAUCUCUGAGCUUAACUCAGAACGGUCAAGUGAUACUGCUGUGCUAGAGUGCGGAAGGGGCAAUCGGAAUUCUUGGUGUAGCGGUGAAAUGCGUAGAUAUCAGGAGGAACACCGGUGGCGAAGGCGGGUCUCUGGGCAGUAACUGACGCUGAGGAGCGAAAGCGUGGGGAGCGAACAGG